rnacentral:rRNA from 1 species
GACGAACGCUGGCGGCGUGCUUAACACAUGCAAGUCGAACGGUAAGGCCCUUCGGGGUACACGAGUGGCGAACGGGUGGAGUAACACGUGGGUGAUCUGCCCUGCACUUUGGGAUAAGCCUGGGAAACUGGGUCUAAUACCGAAUAUGACCAUGGACUUCACGGUUUGUGGUGGAAAGCUUUUGCGGUGUGGGAUGGGCCCGCGGCCUAUCAGCUUGUUGGUGGGGUAAUGGCCUACCAAGGCGACGACGGGUAGCCGGCCUGAGAGGGUGACCGGCCACACUGGGACUGAGAUACGGCCCAGACUCCUACGGGAGGCAGCAGUGGGGAAUAUUGCACAAUGGGCGCAAGCCUGAUGCAGCGACGCCGCGUGGGGGAUGACGGCCUCGGUUGUAACC